AUUGAACGCUGGCGGCAUGCCUUACACAUGCAAGUCGAACGGCAGCACGGGGCAACCUGGUGGCGAGUGGCGAACGGGUGAGUAAUGCAUCGGAACGUGCCAUUGAGUGGGGGAUAACGUAGCGAAAGUUGCGCUAAUACCGCAUAUUCUGUGAGCAGGAAAGCAGGGGACCGCAAGGCCUUGCGCUCUUUGAGCGGCCGAUGUCAGAUUAGCUAGUUGGUGAGGUAACGGCUUACCAAGGCGACGAUCUGUAGCGGGUCUGAGAGGAUGAUCCGCCACACUGGAACUGAGACACGGUCCAGACUCCUACGGGAGGCAGCAGUGGGGAAUUUUGGGACAAUGGGCGCAAGCCUGAUCCAGCCAUGCCGCGUGAGUGAAGAAGGCCUUCGGUUGUAAG
rnacentral:rRNA from 1 species